rnacentral:tRNA from 1 species
AAGGAUUUAAGUUAAUUAAAACUAACAGUCUUCAAAACUGUAAACAAAGAGCCUCUUUAAGCCUUG